rnacentral:rRNA from 1 species
UUAAGCGACUAAGCGUACACGGUGGAUGCCCUGGCAGUCAGAGGCGAUGAAGGACGUGCUAAUCUGCGAUAAGCGUCGGUAAGGUGAUAUGAACCGUUAUAACCGGCGAUUUCCGAAUGGGGAAACCCAGUGUGAUUCGUCACACUAUCAUUAACUGAAUCCAUAGGUUAAUGAGGCGAACCGGGGGAACUGAAACAUCUAAGUACCCCGAGGAAAAGAAAUCAACCGAGAUUCCCCCAGUAGCGGCGAGCGAACGGGGAGCAGCCCAGAGCCUGAAUCAGUGUGUGUGUUAGUGGAAGCGUCUGGAAAGGCGUGCGAUACAGGGUGACAGCCCCGUACACAAAAAUGCACAUACUGUGAGCUCGAUGAGUAGGGCGGGACACGUGGUAUCCUGUCUGAAUAUGGGGGGACCAUCCUCCAAGGCUAAAUACUCCUGACUGACCGAUAGUGAACCAGUACCGUGAGGGAAAGGCGAAAAGAACCCCGGCGAGGGGAGUGAAAAAGAACCUGAAACCGUGUACGUACAAGCAGUGGGAGCACGCUUAGGCGUGUGACUGCGUACCUUUUGUAUAAUGGGUCAGCGACUUAUAUUCUGUAGCAAGGUUAACCGAAUAGGGGAGCCGAAGGGAAACCGAGUCUUAACUGGGCGUUAAGUUGCAGGGUAUAGACCCGAAACCCGGUGAUCUAGCCAUGGGCAGGUUGAAGGUUGGGUAACACUAACUGGAGGACCGAACCGACUAAUGUUGAAAAAUUAGCGGAUGACUUGUGGCUGGGGGUGAAAGGCCAAUCAAACCGGGAGAUAGCUGGUUCUCCCCGAAAGCUAUUUAGGUAGCGCCUCGUGAAUUCAUCUCCGGGGGUAGAGCACUGUUUCGGCAAGGGGGUCAUCCCGACUUACCAACCCGAUGCAAACUGCGAAUACCGGAGAAUGUUAUCACGGGAGACACACGGCGGGUGCUAACGUCCGUCGUGAAGAGGGAAACAACCCAGACCGCCAGCUAAGGUCCCAAAGUCAUGGUUAAGUGGGAAACGAUGUGGGAAGGCCCAGACAGCCAGGAUGUUGGCUUAGAAGCAGCCAUCAUUUAAAGAAAGCGUAAUAGCUCACUGGUCGAGUCGGCCUGCGCGGAAGAUGUAACGGGGCUAAACCAUGCACCGAAGCUGCGGCAGCGACGCUUAUGCGUUGUUGGGUAGGGGAGCGUUCUGUAAGCCUGCGAAGGUGUGCUGUGAGGCAUGCUGGAGGUAUCAGAAGUGCGAAUGCUGACAUAAGUAACGAUAAAGCGGGUGAAAAGCCCGCUCGCCGGAAGACCAAGGGUUCCUGUCCAACGUUAAUCGGGGCAGGGUGAGUCGACCCCUAAGGCGAGGCCGAAAGGCGUAGUCGAUGGGAAACAGGUUAAUAUUCCUGUACUUGGUGUUACUGCGAAGGGGGGACGGAGAAGGCUAUGUUGGCCGGGCGACGGUUGUCCCGGUUUAAGCGUGUAGGCUGGUUUUCCAGGCAAAUCCGGAAAAUCAAGGCUGAGGCGUGAUGACGAGGCACUACGGUGCUGAAGCAACAAAUGCCCUGCUUCCAGGAAAAGCCUCUAAGCAUCAGGUAACAUCAAAUCGUACCCCAAACCGACACAGGUGGUCAGGUAGAGAAUACCAAGGCGCUUGAGAGAACUCGGGUGAAGGAACUAGGCAAAAUGGUGCCGUAACUUCGGGAGAAGGCACGCUGAUAUGUAGGUGAAGUCCCUCGCGGAUGGAGCUGAAAUCAGUCGAAGAUACCAGCUGGCUGCAACUGUUUAUUAAAAACACAGCACUGUGCAAACACGAAAGUGGACGUAUACGGUGUGACGCCUGCCCGGUGCCGGAAGGUUAAUUGAUGGGGUCAGCGCAAGCGAAGCUCUUGAUCGAAGCCCCGGUAAACGGCGGCCGUAACUAUAACGGUCCUAAGGUAGCGAAAUUCCUUGUCGGGUAAGUUCCGACCUGCACGAAUGGCGUAAUGAUGGCCAGGCUGUCUCCACCCGAGACUCAGUGAAAUUGAACUCGCUGUGAAGAUGCAGUGUACCCGCGGCAAGACGGAAAGACCCCGUGAACCUUUACUAUAGCUUGACACUGAACAUUGAGCCUUGAUGUGUAGGAUAGGUGGGAGGCUUGGAAGUGUGGACGCCAGUCUGCAUGGAGCCGACCUUGAAAUACCACCCUUUAAUGUUUGAUGUUCUAACGUUGACCCGUAAUCCGGGUUGCGGACAGUGUCUGGUGGGUAGUUUGACUGGGGCGGUCUCCUCCUAAAGAGUAACGGAGGAGCACGAAGGUUGGCUAAUCCUGGUCGGACAUCAGGAGGUUAGUGCAAUGGCAUAAGCCAGCUUGACUGCGAGCGUGACGGCGCGAGCAGGUGCGAAAGCAGGUCAUAGUGAUCCGGUGGUUCUGAAUGGAAGGGCCAUCGCUCAACGGAUAAAAGGUACUCCGGGGAUAACAGGCUGAUACCGCCCAAGAGUUCAUAUCGACGGCGGUGUUUGGCACCUCGAUGUCGGCUCAUCACAUCCUGGGGCUGAAGUAGGUCCCAAGGGUAUGGCUGUUCGCCAUUUAAAGUGGUACGCGAGCUGGGUUUAGAACGUCGUGAGACAGUUCGGUCCCUAUCUGCCGUGGGCGCUGGAGAACUGAGGGGGGCUGCUCCUAGUACGAGAGGACCGGAGUGGACGCAUCACUGGUGUUCGGGUUGUCAUGCCAAUGGCACUGCCCGGUAGCUAAAUGCGGAAGAGAUAAGUGCUGAAAGCAUCUAAGCACGAAACUUGCCCCGAGAUGAGUUCUCCCUGACUCCUUGAGAGUCCUGAAGGAACGUUGAAGACGACGACGUUGAUAGGCCGGGUGUGUAAGCGCAGCGAUGCGUUGAGCUAACCGGUACUAAUGAACCGUGAGGCUUAACCUU